AUGGGGAAACAGAGGCAGAGGAAGGAAUCAGUGGCCAGAGUGGAGGCACCAGGAGGCAAAACAAGAGCCAGCGCUGCACUUGGUCACAUUGCCCCACCUCUCCCCACUGGCCUGGCUUGCCCACUGUUUAGUUGGCCUCUAAAGUGUCCUUAUUACAGCAUCAAUUCUAGGACCAUAAUGGGGGUGGAAAGCUACCACUUGGCCUGAGAAGUUUAAUCUGAAUUCUGGGAAAGAGGCAGCCUGGCUCCUUAACCGUAAAUAGGUCAUUA